CGUAGGGUGCGAGCGUUAAUCGGGAAUUACUGGGCGUAAAGCGUGCGCAGGCGGUUUUGUAAGACAGAUGUGAAAUCCCCGGGCUCAACCUGGGACCUGCAUUUGUGACUGCAAGGCUAGAGUACGGUAGAGGGGGAUGGAAUUCCGCGUGUAGCAGUGAAAUGCGUAGAUAUGCGGAGGAACACCGAUGGCGAAGGCAAUCCCCUGGACCUGUACUGACGCUCAUGCACGAAAGCGUGGGGAGCAAACAGGAUUAGAUACCCUGGUAGUCCACGCCCUAAACGAUGUCAACUGGUUGUUGGGUCUUUACUGACUCAGUAACGAAGCUAACGCGUGAAGUUGACCGCCUGGGGAGUACGGCCGCAAGGUUG
rnacentral:rRNA from 1 species